GCGUAACACGUGAGAAACCUGCCCCCAGACCGGGACAGCCAGGAACCUGGAUUAAUACCGGAUAUCCUCUUUGGAUCGCAUGAUCCUUUGAGGAAAUGGUCCGCUGCUGGGGGAUGGUCUCGCGGCCUAUCAGGUAGUUGGUGAGGUAACGGCUCACCAAGCCGAAGACGGGUAGCUGGUCUGAGAGGACGAUCAGCCACACUGGAACUGAGACACGGUCCAG
rnacentral:rRNA from 1 species